GGCUGGUGCUUACUGCAGGCUGUGUUCAUAGUUCUGGUGCACAGAAAGAGGGAACAGAGGGAAUUUACCCCAUGGCACCUCAGGCCAGCCCCUGCUCCUGGUCUGCACGAAUGGGGAGUGUAGA
rnacentral:snoRNA from 1 species